rnacentral:rRNA from 1 species
GCCUGAUGCAGCCAUGCCGCGUGUGUGAAGAAGGCCUUCGGGUUGUAAAGCACUUUCAGUGGGGAAGAAGGGGAGGUAGUUAAUACCUUGGUGCUGUGACGUUACCGACAGAAUAAGCACCGGCUAACUUCGUGCCAGCACCGCGGUAAUACA